AGGGGUGUAAUCCGUCGGACUCCAGCAUGGCAUUUUGAACACAGGCGCGCUUUGACGCAGGACUACAUACGUCCAUAUUCCCCGUUCUAUGACAGCAUGCAGUGCCAAAUCAUUCAAUGAUGCAAGGAUAUUGACUGUGGCAUUAUUUUUUUCCGUUCAUCUCUUUGCAAAUGACUUGCUUUCCUGAGCGCACCUCGUCAAGGACAAGACAGAGCCCAUCUGCUUCUGCCAUCAGUGAAAGUGGAUCAGUUGCAGACUCUUCGAAGGGUUGGAGAGACACUUGAGGAGUCAGGCCCCGCUAUUUAAACAAGAAACCAAUACAGUUGGCAAUGUAGGCCACAAGCACCCAAUGGCUUGCUGCAGAAACCCAAUAGCCUUUCACGGCACGUUAGUCAAUGCGCGUGGCUUGUGGUCGAGAUGGAUGUUGUGUUCAUUUCGAGCGGCUAGUCUAGGUAUAUUUUCCACGAGGUGUGUACCGUUUCAUCUACCUGGUCAUAGCCUUACAGCUCCAUCUGAAUCCAUGACAUAUACUCUCCUGACUUUUACUCAAGCAAUUAUCACAGGAGAUCUAGAUGUAUUGGAGAUUCAGGAUGUGUAUCUACAUAUGUUGCCAUUUCCCAGGUUAUCGAGGUAAAGGAAAUAAAACAAUACAUUUUGUUUUUCAAAAAA